UGUACUGGUUCUCAUUCCACUGCUGCCAUUUCAAUGGCAUUUGAGAACAUGUUUGAAACAUGGAAACAUGAACAACUGACUCGAGAAAUAAGCUCAUCAACUGUGUCUGCAGCAGACGUGAUACCCACUGUCAUGGUACUGAAAUGCCUGCUCAACCAAUCUGCUGACACAGACCGUGGGGUUAACUUAGAAAAGUACUGAACUAAAGGCUGUGAACAAGCACUUCGGUGGCAUUCUCUCUGAGCCUCUUUACUGUGUUGCCACCAUGCUCGAUGUUAGGUACAAGGACCACUACUUCGAUGCAGACAAGAAACAGGGUUUACGUGAAAUGUUACAGACACAGCUGGACAAGAUGGAAGUGGACACAAUGACAGUGCGCACCGAGGAAAAGAGGCCACGGACAGACAGAGCUGAAACUUCACUGCUUGACAUGUAUGAUGAAAUCCUGGUUGAGAAUGAAACGACUGAACAAAUGAACAACAAACAGCACAGCAAAGAGGAAAGCCAAUAGCUACACUCUUGAUCCAUCACUGUACAACAGCAGCCUCAAGAGAGAUGCCUAAACAGAUGUUCACACAGACCUUUAAAAACAUCAGUAGAGUAUGCUACACCUGACCUUCUAUGAACCAGGCUGUAACAAUCAUCCUGGUUUGACCCUUGCCUGUCCUGACUCCGUACCCACCUGCCUGACCACUCUGCCUGUUCUGACAACCAGCUUGCCUAUCCACUUGUACUGUUUCGGACUCAGAUCUGGUUUCUGACCUCUGCCUGGCCUGCCCUCGAGACUGCCUAUCGUUUGGUACUGUUUGGACUCUGACCUGGUUUAUGAACUCUCACCUGUCCCCAACCUGCCUUUGCCUGCUCCCUUUGUUAUAAUAAAUAUCGGAGCUCUACCAUCUGCCUCCUGUGUCUGCAUUUGGGUCUCUCCUUGUGCCCUUAUACAGAUAUUUGAACCUAGGUCUGGAUCCUUAUGUGAAUGUCAUUCCUACACUA